UUAAAUUGAAGAGUUUGAUCAUGGCUCAGAUUGAACGCUGGCGGCAGGCCUAACACAUGCAAGUCGAACGGUAACAGGAAGCAGCUUGCUGCUUCGCUGACGAGUGGCGGACGGGUGAGUAAUGUCUGGGAAACUGCCUGAUGGAGGGGGAUAACUACUGGAAACGGUGGCUAAUACCGCAUAACGUCGCAAGACCAAAGAGGGGGACCUUCGGGCCUCUUGCCAUCAGAUGUGCCCAGAUGGGAUUAGCUUGUUGGUGAGGUAACGGCUCACCAAGGCGACGAUCCCU
rnacentral:rRNA from 1 species